rnacentral:rRNA from 1 species
AAAUGAGAUUUAACGAAAGUGGCGAACGGGUGAGUAACGCGUGAGCAACCUGCCUUACACAGGGGGAUAGCCAUUGGAAACGGUGAUUAAUACCCCAUAAGACCACAAUACCGCAUGGUAAAAGGGUAAAAGGGAUACCGGUGUAAGAUGGGCUCGCGUCUUAUUAGCUAGUUGGUGGGGUAAAGGCCUACUAAGGCGACGAUCAGUAGCCGGUCUGAGAGGAUGAACGGCCACAUUGGAACUGAGACACGGUCCAAACUCCUACGGGAGGCAGCAGGG